UUGGAAGAGAGCUUCAAGCACAUCCAGCCCAACCUAGCACCCAGUCAGCCAGACCAUGGCUUCAGCACCUCCAGGGACAGCGACUCCACUGUCUGUGUCCCUCAGAACUGCACUCUCUUUAGGUUCAGACCCACUGCCAGUUGCCUGUUGCUCAGUGGGGGUGAAAUCACUGCUGCCCUACGUGAGCUGUGGUGCAGGUGUGAGGGACACCCUGGGGAGACUUUCCACUGACUCCUGUGGAAGCUGGAUGAAAGCCCAGACUAAGAUACUUAACACAGGAUUCCAGGAAAACCACUUUUCCCCCAGGAUCUGCCUGCUGCCCACCUGCCCUGUGUCCCAGCUGCCUGGGUGGCCUCCCUAGCAGCCUCUCUGGAAGGCAAAGCUUGCUGCACACACAGCUCCUGCUCCCCACCACAUGCAGAAUCUGGGGAUAACUGCACCUUGACUUGGAUGGAGAUGCCACGGGACCUUUGAAGGACACCAGCCCAUGGUGGCUUGAGGAAUCCAGCUCCUUUGACUGUGUUUGCCUCACAGCCUCCAAAGUCAAACCCUGAGCAAUGGGUGAGCUGCAGGAAGGAGGAGAUGGACUUUGACCUGGCUGUGCACAUUGGUGCUAGGAAUGUGGGUUCAGCCUUACUGCUGCUGGGACCUGGGGCAUAGAACCAUGGUAACCUCAGCUCUGUUGGGCUGGAUUCGUCUGUCCUGACCCCCAGCAUGGGUGAGGUGACCACAGAGGUGUGUUGCUCUUGUUUCUGUUGGAGCAGUGUCGAGAAUGCCAGGCUCUGACUGGCCAUUGUGCUGCAGAAGGGCUGGUGGAGAAGUGAGUGUCCCAUCCCAGGCUGAGGAGGGGAGCACAGAUAGAGGCCUAACACCUGCACAUUUUGGAGGUGCCCAGGACUGAAAGAAAGCACUGAAAAGAUUGACCAAGCUCUACUCUUCUACAUGUGGGCUGAUGCCACAGCUCUCAGUCUUCCGUGAUGGCCUGCAGAGGCUGCUCCAUCCACGAGGGCUGCUCAGUGGGAGAGAGCAGCGAUGAAGCCUCACUGCAGCUGGGUUCUGUGGUGUAACUGCUACUGCCUAUUGGGACUUCACCCUAUGCAGAAGAGAUUACACACAGAAAUUUCUUCAUCCUGAGAGCACUGAAAUCUGCUCCAUCAAACAUUAACCAGAAGCCCUGCAGAAGAGAACGAUUUGUUUUCUUUAUUCUCACCCCCCCAUCCCAUCCC